rnacentral:rRNA from 1 species
CCUACGGGAGGCAGCAGUGAGGAAUAUUGGUCAAUGGACGGAAGUCUGAACCAGCCAUGCCGCGUGCAGGAAGACGGCUCUAUGAGUUGUAAACUGCUUUUGUACAAGGGUAAACCUGAAUACGUGUAUUCAGCUGAAAGUACUGUACGAAUAAGGAUCGGCUAACUCCGUGCCAGCAGCCGCGGUAAUACGGAGGAUUCAAGCGUUAUCCGGAUUUAUUGGGUUUAAAGGGUGCGUAGGCGGAUUGAUAAGUUAGAGGUGAAAUGUGCGAGCUUAACUCGGGAACUGCCUCUAAUACUGUUGCUCUUGAGAGUAGAUGCGGUAGGCGGAAUGUAUGGUGUAGCGGUGAAAUGCUUAGAGAUCAUACAGAACACCGAUUGCGAAGGGAGCUUACUAAUCUAUAUCUGACGUUGAGGCACGAAAGCGUGGGGAGCAAACAGGAUUAGAGACCCGGGUAGUC